AUAAUUCAUGGAGAAAUUUCUUAAACAGUUGAAGGCACUCGAGUGUGAACAUUACUACAGUUAAAUGAAACACGUCCCUAUGGAAACAUCGAUCAAUCAAAUUCCUAACGAAGGUAAUCAAUUCAUCCCACCAAUUCUCCACUCCCUGGUUCAAUAUUCUCCUACUAGUGUCACUCUUCUCAAAUGAAACAUUAUUCAGAGCUAAACACACUUAACAAGUGAACAAGUACUAUUUCAUUGUGAUGGCAAUUUCACAAUUUAUACUAUUUCA
rnacentral:lncRNA from 1 species